GGAUGGACUUCCGGAGGAAGUACUGGGUGCGGGUACAGUUACAGCAUUUAAAAGGCAAUUGGGUCUGUGUCUCGUCGUUGCAUCAAGUCCGUGAGUGUCUCCGAAAAUGAACAUAACAUUUGGUGCCGUGACCAGGAUUGCAACAUGUACAGCAGUCUCAUGUGGAGGGCUGAAUAAGGGAUCGAUCGAGUGUCAGUGGAGUGAGACAGACAGGCCCGCAAGAUGCUGUCCGACUUGCUGAUGUUUUCACAAAGCUGGCACACAGGGACAGAACAAAGCCAUUCAACUGCUCGAGACGAUACACAGUUUGAUCUGGAGGUCAGUAAGUCCCAAGAAAUCUGUUACCCAGGAA